GCUUCCCAGGCUCCUCCCUCCGUUACUCCUGUCUUCCUGUGUGAGUGUAGAGACGCGUAGAGACGCCUCGGGAGCGGCUGCGUUCGGGGAAACUUGCAGGCUUCGGUAUCAACAGGACUUGCAGCUGCUGACAAAGGUGUGCGAUCAGGCUCUCCAGAAGAGGGUUCUUGAUGCAAACUGAACUUUUCUGGAAUUCUUGCAUCAUUUUUACAUGCACAGCAGACUUUUGGUGAGUCAUUUCUUAGCUAUCUAAUAUUCCUAAGGCAUUCUGAGUUCUUCCGUUUUUGAUUUUGUCCUCUAACAACAGUAUAGGUGGCAAAGAAUGUCCAGAGAUACAAGGCCUGUCCACAGGAAUCUUGAUGAUUUUGACUUUUUGUCUCAUCUUCCUUUUCAAGGUGAAUAUGUACUGGGCCAGCACCACCUCUGCCACCAGGAUGCACACACUGGUGCUAGCUUCUGUGACCACUUUUGCCAUGUCCAUCUGGUCCACAAAUGCAGCUCUCAUGCUCUUUCCGGCAAAGAUAACACUCACAAGUUUUGCACGUGUGGAGCUUGUGCCUUAACCAUGGGGAAAACCAUAGAAACUGUGCAGGCCUGACUUCAUUGCACUUCACAGAUACUGCUUUUUUUUUUUUUUUUUUUUUUUUUUUUUUUUUUUUUUUUUUUUUUUACAAAUUGAAGGUUUGUGGCAACCCUUUGUCAGGCAAGUCUAUAGGUGCCAUUUUUCCAACAGCAUGUGCUCAAUUCACAUCUUUGCGCCACAUUUUGGUAAUUCUUCAAAUAUUUCAAACUUUCAUAUUAUUGUUAUAUCUAUUAUGGUGAUCUGUGAUCAGGGAUCUUACAUAUUACCAUUGAAAUUGUUUUAGAGCACCACAAACUGCACCCAUAGAAGAUUGAGAACUUAAUUGAUAAAUGCUGUGUAUAUUCUGACUGCUUCACUUAUUGGUGGUUUCCCCAUCUCUCCUCCUCUCUUUAGGCCUCUUAUUUUUUUAUCUGAGAUACAACAAUAUUGAAAUUAGGCCAAUUAAUAAUCCUAAAACAGCCUCUGAGAGUUCAAAGGAAAGGAAGAGAAGCAUAUUUCUCACUUUAAAUCAAAUGCUAGAAAUAAUUAAGUUUACUGAGGAAGGUAUGUCAAAAGCUGAGAUAGGCUCAAAGCUAAACCUUUUGGGUCAAAUGAUUAGCCAAGUUGUGACUGCAAAGGAAAAGUUCUUGAAGGCAACUAAAAGUGCCACCUCAGUGAACAUAUGGAUGGUAACACUGCUGAUAUGGAGAAAAUUUGAGAACAUGUGGUGUUUAGUUAUUUUGUUCCUGCAUUAGUUUGCUGAAGGUA